rnacentral:snRNA from 1 species
GGAUGUGAGGGCCAUCUGGCUGAGACCUCUGUCACCCGACUGAUUGCCAAAGGUUGAUUGGGCUGAUCUGGCUGGCUAGGUGAGUGUUCCCUUCCAACUUUCACCACUCCAUGUGCAUCCAUCCUGAGGCUAGAAGCUUCAGAGGAAGUUGAAGAGGAUGACUUUCCCUAAAGAGAGGAGGACCGUUCACAGGUAUAUAUAUGAAUAGCUGUCCUACCCAGCUAGAACCUCCAAACAAGCUCUUAAGACCCACUUGUAGCCCAGAUUUUAAGGGGGAAGAUACACAUUUAAUCCUGCUCUUUUGAGAUCCACCUUU